rnacentral:rRNA from 1 species
UGGGGAAUAUUGGACAAUGGGCGCAAGCCUGAUCCAGCCAUACCGCGUGGGUGAAGAAGGCCUUCGGGUUGUAAAGCCCUUUUGUUGGGAAAGAAAUCCAGCUGGCUAAUACCUGGUUGGGAUGACGGUACCCAAAGAAUAAGCACCGGCUAACUUCGUGCCAGCAGCCGCGGUAAUACGAAGGGUGCAAGCGUUACUCGGAUUACUGGGCGUAAAGCGUGCGUAGGUGGUUAUUUAAGUCCGUUGUGAAAGCCCUGGGCUCAACCUGGGAACUGCAGUGGAUACUGGAUGACUAGAGUGUGGUAGAGGGUAGCGGAAUUCCUGGUGUAGCAGUGAAAUGCGUAGAGAUCAGGAGGAACAUCCAUGGCGAAGGCAGCUACCUGGACCAACACUGACACUGAGGCACG